AAACCAGCGCCUCAAGUGGUCAGGAUGAUUAUUGGGCCUAAAGCAUCCGUAGCCUGCUCUGUAAGUUUUCGGUUAAAUCUGUAUGCUCAACAUACAGGCUGCCGGGAAUACUGCAGAGCUAGGGAGUGGGAGAGGUAGACGGUACUCGGGAGGAAGUGGUAAAAUGCUUUGAUCUCUCGAUGACCACCUGUGGCGAAGGCGGUCUACCAGAACACGUCCGACGGUGAGGGAUGAAAGCUGGGGGAGCAAACCGAAUUAGAAACCCCAGUAGUCC
rnacentral:rRNA from 1 species